UGAUCCUGGCUCAGAAUGAACGCUGGCGGCGUGCUUAACACAUGCAAGUCGUACGAGAACUCUUCUGCUUGCAGAAGAUAGUAAAGUGGCGCACGGGUGAGUAACGCGUGGGUAAUCUACCUCUAACUCGGGGAUAACAUUGCGAAAGUGAUGCUAAUACCGGAUAAUAUCUAAUUUGCUUCGGCAGCUUAGAUCAAGGGUGGCCUCUAUAUAUAAGCUACUGAUUGGAGAUGAGCCCGCGUACCAUUAGCUUGUUGGUAGGGUAAUGGCCUACCAAGGCUACGAUGGUUAGCUGGUCUGAGAGGAUGAUCAGCCACACUGGAACUGACACACGGUCCAGACUCCUACGGGAGGCAGCAGUGAGGAAUUUUGCGCAAUGGGGGAAACCCUGACGCAGCAACGCCGCGUGAGUGAUGAAGGCUUUAGGGUCGUAAAGCUCUGUCAAGUGGGAAGAACAAGCCUGAUGCUAAUAUCAUCAGGAGCUGACGGUACCACUGAAGGAAGCACCGGCUAACUCCGUGCCAGCAGCCGCGGUAAUACGGGGGGUGCAAGCGUUAUUCGGAAUCAUUGGGCGUAAAGAGCGCGUAGGCGGCCCUUUAAGUCAGAUGUGAAAGCCCGGGGCUUAACCCCGGAAGUGCAUUUGAAACUAUUGGGCUUGAGUAUGGGAGAGGGAAGUGGAAUUCCUGGUGUAGAGGUUGAAAUUCGUAGAUAUCAGGAGGAACACCGGUGGCGAAGGCGGUUUCCUGGAACCAAUACUGACGCUGAGGCGCGAAGGCGUGGGGAGCAAACAGGAUUAGAUACCCUGGUAGUCCACGCAGUAAACGUUGAACACUAGGUGUAGCGGGUAUUGACCCCUGCUGUGCCGCAGUUAACGCAUUAAGUGUUCCGCCUGGGGAGUACGACCGCAAGGUUAAAACUCAAAGGAAUUGACGGG
rnacentral:rRNA from 1 species